rnacentral:rRNA from 1 species
GACGAACGCUGGCGGCGUGCUUAACACAUGCAAGUCGAGCGAGGCCCCUCCUUCGGGAGGGUGUCCUAGCGGCGAACGGGUGAGUAACACGUGGGCAACCUGCCCUCAGCUCUGGGAUAACUCCGCGAAACCGGGGCUAAUACCGGAUACGACCUCCACGGGCAUCUGCGGAGGUGGAAAGUUUUUCGGCUGAGGAUGGGCCCGCGGCCUAUCAGCUAGUUGGUGGGGUAGUGGCCCACCAAGGCGACGACGGGUAGCCGGCCUGAGAGGGCGACCGGCCACACUGGGACUGAGACACGGCCCAGACUCCUACGGGAGGCAGCAGUGGGGAAUAUUGCGCAAUGGGCGAAAGCCUGACGCAGCGACGCCGCGUGAGGGACGAAGGCCUCCGGGUUGUAAACCUCUUUCAGCAGGGACGAAGCGAAAGUGACGGUACCUGCAGAAGAAGCACCGGCCAACUACGUG